UUGUGGUCAAGCUAAUAAGGGCUAAUGGUGGAUACCUAGGCACACAGAGGCGAAGAAGGACGUGGUUACCGACGAAAUGUUCCGGGGAGUUGGAAGCAAACUGAGAGCCGGAAAUAUCCGAAUGGGGCAACCCUAUGUACUACCUGUUGAAUAUAUAGACAGGAAAGAGCCAACCCAGCGAACUGAAACAUCUUAGUAGCU
rnacentral:rRNA from 1 species